GACGAACGCUGGCGGCGUGCUUAACACAUGCAAGUCGAGCGGGAUCCAACCGGUGGCAACACCGGGGAAGAUCUAGCGGCGAACGGGUGAGUAACACGUGAGCAACCUGCCCCGAAGACUGGGAUAACACCGGGAAACCGGUGCUAAUACCGGAUGUCGUCAUUAGGCCGCAUGACCUGAUGAUGAAAGGAUUCAUCGCUUCGGGAGGGGCUCGCGGGCUAUCAGCUUGNGGUGGGGUAACGGCCUACCAAGGCGACGACGGCUAGCUGGUCUGAGAGGACGACCAGCCACACUGGGACUGAGACACGGCCCAGACUCCUACGGGAGGCAGCAGUGGGGGAAUCUUGCGCAAUGGGCGAAAGCCUGACGCAGCAACGCCGCGUGGGGGAG
rnacentral:rRNA from 1 species